rnacentral:rRNA from 1 species
GCAAGUCGAACGGGAAUUACUUUAUUGAAACUUCGGUCGAUUUAAUUUAAUUCUAGUGGCGGACGGGUGAGUAACGCGUGGGUAACCUGCCUUGUACAGGGGGAUAACAGUCAGAAAUGACUGCUAAUACCGCAUAAGCGCACAGGACCGCAUGGUCCGGUGUGAAAAACUCCGGUGGUAUAAGAUGGACCCGCGUUGGAUUAGCUUGUUGGUGGGGUAACGGCCCACCAAGGCGACGAUCCAUAGCCGGCCUGAGAGGGUGAACGGCCACAUUGGGACUGAGACACGGCCCAGACUCCUACGGGAGGCAGCAGUGGGGAAUAUUGCACAAUGGGGGAAACCCUGAUGCAGCGACGCCGCGUGAAGGAAGAAGUAUCUCGGUAUGUAAACUUCUAUCAGCAGGGAAGAAAAUGACGGUACCUGACUAAGAAGCCCCGGCUAACUACGUGCCAGCAGCCGCGGUAAUACGUAGGGGGCAAGCGUUAUCCGGAUUUACUGGGUGUAAAGGGAGCGUAGACGGAUGGACAAGUCUGAUGUGAAAGGCUGGGGCUCAACCCCGGGACUGCAUUGGAAACUGCCCGUCUUGAGUGCCGGAGAGGUAAGCGGAAUUCCUAGUGUAGCGGUGAAAUGCGUAGAUAUUAGGAGGAACACCAGUGGCGAAGGCGGCUUACUGGACGGUAACUGACGUUGAGGCUCGAAAGCGUGGGGAGCAAACAGG